rnacentral:lncRNA from 1 species
UUCUGCUUAGCUCAAGUUCUCUGGUUAGUGGAUGCUCGACCACUAGAUGCAUGGGAUGGCUCCCACAUGCUCAGCAGUUUUGAGUAUGUGUGGCAAAGUCUUGUUUGUUUAUAUCUAUUGUACAGAGAUUCCUUUUCACUAUCUGGUUUUCCUUAGCUCAAUCUCUUUGGCUAGUGGAUGCUGGACACUUGAUGUGUGGAAUGGCUCCCACAUUCUUGGCAAUUUCUGAGGCA